GUUCAGCCUGUGAGCUAGCCUCUAAAGGCUUUUCCCCUCCUUUUUGAUUCCAGAGCAAAACCUCUUAGAGGUCUCAUUGCUCUGGGCAAAAGGAACAACCUGUACAACGUGAAUUGAAGACCAUCAAGAAGCCUUUCAGUCCCGUUGACAUCUGGAAGCAAAGGUAAAGACGGAAGAGAUGCUUGCAAGAUAAAGAGGAAUAUGAGAUCAGAUUUGCCCUUCCAAGACUGGAGUUUUGUCUUUGACCUUGAGGAGAGUAGAUCCAAUUUGUCCUGUAGCUUCUGGGAGACCAUUGGAGGGGAGAGCAUAGGACAGAAUGGAGAAAAUGAGCGUCAAGGUGAGCUACUUCAGAGUUCUAGGAGGAUGAACCAGUGCUAGAUGAUCUACAGCAGAGGUCUGGCUGGGAACAUAUCCACCCAAAUCCACAAUUUUGCAUCACCCACAACUCUUCAAAAAUGCAAAAAUUCAAAUGAUUUUAUUCAAAAAGAAGAAUGUGAUACCUUGUCAAUCCUGUGGCUUCUCAAAAGAGCAGGGGAUGGAAAUGGUCGUUUCUUCUUAUACAGAUGCCCUGUCCUGGUGUAAACUAAAGUAAAAAAUCAACCAGUAAUGAGGAUUAAUGAAUUUCCUUUUAAAUUCCUCCUAGCUAACAUCAGUGAAAAUGAAUUAACCUUUGAGCCCUUUAAUGUAGCAAAUUCGGAUUUUAGUUCAAAUUCAGAACUUUCUAAACUUUCUAAACUUUAGUUCAAAUUCAGAACUUUCUAAACUUUGGGUAAGAUAGUCCACAAGACUGCCUUUCUUUCAGCUCCCUUAUUCCCAUGGAACUGAUCUACCACUUACAGUGCUCUUCUCCCUUAGAUGCCCUGCUCAGACCCAGCUAAAUGCUCAACAGUAAGCUUUCUGCUUAUAGUGAAGCCCAAUUGGCUGAUUCCUUUUGAUUUCACAACUAGAUAAGUAGCAUCUUUGCAUUCAUUGAUCCUUCCCUUCCUUUUCCUUUUCUCUUUCUCUCUCUCUUCUUCCCUCCCACAUCCAUUUACCCACAGCUGAUACAAUACUUAAAUGCAAAAAUGUUUUGGUAGGUAGCUCCAUUCCUACCUAACAGUUUUUUCUUCUUUUUGGUUAAUCAAAGUUCUUUUAUUUCCAUAUUUGGCAUUUGAGCAGAUUAGAAGUGAUAAAUUCCCCAUCUUUCUGACUAAACACAGUCUUUAUUGGCAUACAACAACAAAAUUGUCAUACAACACAGGUGUAUACAAGAAGAGGAAGUCACAAAAGAAAAGAAAACAUACUUAAAAGUUACUAAUCUCAAGGAUAAAAUUUGCAACAGUCUCACAAAAUAAAGCAUCAGAGUUGUUCAGUAGAUACAGAAUUUUAUAACACCUUUACCAUUGAGAACACUGUGAAAAAAUCAAUUCCUGUAUUUCAUCUGUACAUUAUAAGAUCUGGGGCAAACAAACAAAGAAUGGUGAAGUGUAGUUCGAAAUUUGAAUAUGGAGUCUAGGGAAUAGAGUAUUCCUAGAGUAUCCUGAUCAAAGGUGAUUAGGUGUGAUGGUUCUGGGGUGUAGUUUGACCCAUCAUCCUUAGAAUGUCCGUGAGAGCAAAGUAGGUUCAUUCAGGGAUCAUGGAUGUCAAGAAUUGGCACAGGUUUAAAAUUAAAAUUACAUUAAUUGUCUGAUGCAAGGGUCUUUAAAAACCCAGAAUGGAAAGACCCCAUAAGAUUGUAGAUUUAUUUUUAUUUUUUUGCCUUCAUUAUCAAGUCAGGGAUUGUUGGGCUGGUAAAACAUAGCUGAAAACACUUAUAACAAAAUAGGAAAAUAGCAGUUUCAUAGAGGUCACAGGGGAGCAGCUGAUUUUUAAGAACUAUUUGAGGUUCAGCUUCGCUCUUGAUAUUGAUCCCCAAUAGGAAAUUUGACUAUUCAGAGAGUAAACAUCGAUCACAACUUUGAAUAGUUGUGGAAUCAGACCAUAUGCCAUCUUACUGUUUCCUUCCCUUCCUAUGUCAACAAUGAGAACAAUGGUAGCAAAACAUUCAAGAAAACUCUCAGGAAAAGAAAAUUUGGCUAGAAAAGAGCUUGCUUUUGUUAAAAUGAAUGAAAGAUAAUGACUACGUUGAUGAUGAUGAUUGUUUAUCUCUGGGUUUUGAUCUUCAACAAAAGAAUACUGCAGCUUAGAAUCUAGCCUCUUUGCCCUCAGUCAUACUCUGCCUAUGCUUUUCCUUCUCUAUCCUGGGGCACUGAAGACUGGAAACUCCAACCGGAAAAUAUCUAAAGUUUUGGAUAGUAUGAGGGUAUUUUUGAACAGAUACAGUGGUGAGUGUCCCUACAUGAGGAAUGCAAAUAGGCAAAACAAACUCAUGGAAAAUACUCAACUUAUGCUCAUUUUUAAAAAGCUUUCAAAAAGAACACAUGAUAUUAUGUAUAGUAAUGAAAUUAUGCUGGCAGCUAUCACACUACAAAUAAGAUAAAAAAUAAAGUUGAAUUUUGAUGCCUUAAUUUGAUUUAUUGCAAUUUGAUCAUCCAUUCUCAAUAUUCUUGGCAUGGUCACUGUCAAGCCCUCAAGACAAUUUACAUAGUAAGAUAAGGUAGUUUAUUGAAAUAUUAGCUAAUAUCCAAAUGUACUUCUAUAGAGAGAAAACCUGGUUUAGGAUAUCCCAAAAUAUUGUUUUCUUAGCAUAAGCUCUGUUCAGGUACGAUCAAUAUGGAAAUGGUAAUUAUGUGAAAAAAGAAGGUGUACUAGUUUUACUUUCUCAUUCUCAGUGUCCUUAUCUUCUAUGCACAUAGGGUAAUCUUCUGAAGAGGAACCGCCUUUGUCCAAGGAAGCUCUUCAUAUGAUUUGGAUCCCAGUGUUUCACACAUAGAAAGUGCAAGAAGAGUUGAGAUAGCAUUCUUCCCUACUUACAUGUUUACAGUUUUUAUACAGCUAAUGUUUGAAUAAGGGAACAUUUGUAGUAAAUCCUCUACUUAAGGCAAAAGUGAUGGGAAUGCCAUUCCUUAUGACAUGGGACAUCAGGUAGCUUACUAUUCAUUUUAAGGGCUUAGUCAGACCAAUUUACCAGAUCAAGCAAUCACUGAACAAACAGCCACUGACAUUCCUAGCAUUUGGAUAUGAUCUCAGCAAAAGUACGACUGUUUUAAUUCACAAUUGAUAACUGUUUGCCUGCCAGCCCCCGAAAUAAUGAGACAACACAAGUGAAAUGGGUUAAAAUAUGGGCAACUUUAUUAAUUGUUACCUAUUUAACUAUUUAAUGGCACACCAUGCAGUCAUGCCAGUGACAUGACCUUGGAGGUGUCUACAGACAACGCCGGCUCUUCGGCUUAGAAAUGGAGAUGAGCACCAACCCCCAGAGUCAGACAUGACUGGACUUAACGUCAGGGGAAACCUUUACCUUUUAUUUAACUCUGAAACUGAAUGUAACUCUAUUCUGGCAGAGAAUCUGGUGGAAAACCCAGCCGAGGUAGCGUCCUUACCCGGCCUACCCCAUGGCUGGUAAAAAGUAAAGGUAAAGGUUUCCCCUGAUGUUAAGUCUAGUUGUGUCCGACUCUGGGGGUUGGUACUCAUCUCC